CUUCUUAGCUCAGUUGGUAAGAGCAUGAGGCUCUUAAUCUCUAGGUUGUGGGUUCAAGCCCCACAUUGCAGAAAGA